AGUGAACGCUGGCGGUAGGCCUAACACAUGCAAGUCGAACGGCAGCACAGUAAGAGCUUGCUCUUACGGGUGGCGAGUGGCGGACGGGUGAGGAAUACAUCGUAAUCUACUUUUUCGUGGGGGAUAACGUAGGGAAACUUACGCUAAUACCGCAUACGACCUACGGGUGAAAGCAGGGGAUCUUCGGACCUUGCGCGAUUGAAUUAGCCGAUGUCGGAUUAGCUAGUUGGCGGGGUAAAGGCCCACCAAGGCGACGAUCCGUAGCUGGUCUGAGAGGAUGAUCAGCCACACUGGAACUGAGACACGGUCCAGACUCCUACGGGAGGCAGCAGUGGGGAAUAUUGGACAAUGGGCGCAAGCCUGAUCCAGCCAUACCGCGUGGGUGAAGAAGGCCUUCGGGUUGUAAAGCCCUUUUGUUGGGAAAGAAAAGCAGCAGGUUAAUACCCCGCUGUUCUGACGGUACCCAAAGAAUAAGCACCGGCUAACUUCGUG
rnacentral:rRNA from 1 species